GAGUUUGAUCCUGGCUCAGGAUGAACGCUGGCGGCGUGCCUAACACAUGCAAGUCGAACGAAGCGAUUAGGAUGAAGUUUUCGGAUGGAUUCCUGGUUGACUGAGUGGCGGACGGGUGAGUAACGCGUGGAUAACCUGCCUCACACUGGGGGAUAACAGUUAGAAAUGGCUGCUAAUACCGCAUAAGCGCACAGUACCGCAUGGUACGGUGUGAAAAACCCAGGUGGUGUGAGAUGGAUCCGCGUCUGAUUAGCCAGUUGGCGGGGUAACGGCCCACCAAAGCGACGAUCAGUAGCCGACCUGAGAGGGUGACCGGCCACAUUGGGACUGAGACACGGCCCAAGCUCCUACGGGAGGCAGCAGUGGGGAAUAUUGCACAAUGGGCGGAAGCCUGAUGCAGCGACGCCGCGUGAGUGAAGAAGUAUCUCGGUAUGUAAAGCUCUAUCAGCAGGGAAGAAAAUGACGGUACCUGACUAAG
rnacentral:rRNA from 1 species